rnacentral:rRNA from 1 species
UACGGAGGAUGCGAGCGUUAUCCGGAUAUAUUGGGUUUAAAGGGUGCGUAGGCGGACUGUCAAGUCAGCGGUAAAAUUGAGAGGCUCAACCUCUUCCCGCCGUUGAAACUGGUGGUCUUGAGUGGAUGAGAAGUACGCGGAAUGCGUGGUGUAGCGGUGAAAUGCAUAGAUAUCACGCAGAACUCCGAUUGCGAAGGCAGCGUACCGGCAUCCAACUGACGCUGAGGCACGAAAGCGUGGGGAUCAAACAGG